ACGAACGCUGGCGGCGUGCUUAACACAUGCAAGUCGAACGAAGAGCGACGGAAGCUUGCUUCUAUCAAUCUUAGUGGCGAACGGGUGAGUAACGCGUAAUCAACCUGCCCUUCAGAGGGGGACAACAGUUGGAAACGACUGCUAAUACCGCAUACGAUCUAACCUCGGCAUCGAGGAUAGAUGAAAGGUGGCCUCUACAUGUAAGCUAUCACUGAAGGAGGGGAUUGCGUCUGAUUAGCUAGUGGGAGGGGUAACGGCCCACCAAGGCGAUGAUCAGUAGCCGGUCUGAUAGGAUGAGCGGCCACAUUGGGACUGAGACACGGCCCAGACUCCUACGGGAGGCAGCAGUGGGGAAUCUUCCGCAAUGGACGAAAGUCUGGCGGAGCAACGCCGCGUGAGUGAUGACGGCCUUCGGGUUGUAAAGCUCUGUUAAUCGGGACGAAAGGCCUUCUUGCGAAUAGUGAGAAGGAUUGACGGUACCGGAAUAGAAAGCCACGGCUAACUACGUG
rnacentral:rRNA from 1 species